UACGUAGGGUGCAAGCGUUAAUCGGAAUUACUGGGCGUAAAGCGUGCGCAGGCGGUUUUGUAAGUCUGUCGUGAAAUCCCCGGGCUUAACCUGGGAAUGGCGAUGGAGACUGCAAGGCUAGAAUCUGGCAGAGGGGGGUAGAAUUCCACGUGUAGCAGUGAAAUGCGUAGAGAUGUAGAGGAACACCGAUGGCGAAGGCAGCCCCCUGGGUCAAGAUUGACGCUCAUGCACGAAAGCGUGGGGAGCAAACAGG
rnacentral:rRNA from 1 species